ensembl:lncRNA
CAUCAAUAUUGCCUCUGAUCCUGUUAAUUAGGGAACACCUAAGGCUAAGACCUUAGUCUUGCCAGAGCAAAGCCUCAGCAGUACUACUCCUUCCUGCUCUAGGGGGCUGCUGAAGUAACACGUUCCAUGCUGGAAUCUUCAGGCACUGAAAGGAAAAGGCCCUAUGUUGAGUGACCUGGGAGCUCUAGGAACCCAGAUUGGAUGGCAGACAAGGUCUAUCUGAUACUAGUCGAGUAAAUGCUGUUCUGACUUUCAAGCUCCAGGUCAGAACUGGGACACCCUCCUCUCUAAGGAAGUUUCAAGGUGACAAAGGCAGCGCUGAGGGUAACUUAAGGUAGAGAGACCAGGAGCUUCAACUCAAACACAUUGCCAUCACUUUCUGAGAAUCUAAAUGUUAACUUAGAGUGGUAGGUAUACAGUAUGGCAAUGUCCAAGGAAGAACACCUUUAAUGUCACUGCAUGCUCCCUUUGAUAGAUACAAUUGUUUCUGUUUUCAAGGAAGAGGAAACAAGCAUAAAGUGGUUAAAAAGCUGCUAGCCCAGGGUCACACGGCUGAUCAGAAAACAAGGAUUGAAACCAGGUAGUGCUCAAGGACUAGGUAGAAACAUUUAGCUGGUCCCGGUUUCUCUUCCCAUCCUACCCUUGUGAAUUCAGAACAUCAACGGAUAAUCCAACUGAUGGCUGCCUUCGCAGAGAGAGUUGCUGUAUGGCUUUCAUCGUAUUAGACUCCUGGAUAAACGCAACAGAAGUCAACCUGAAAUUGAAGAGUCUCCUAUUAACAACCCUUGAUUCUUUCUUGCUUACUUGCUUAUAGCCCUCGUUGGCCGCUGGCCUAGAACUCACUAUGUAGACUAAGUUGGUCCUUUCCUCCCAGGGAUCUGUCUGCCUCUGCCUCCUGGCCACUGAGAUUAAAGUUAUGUCCAGCAACAACCCGGCAAUUCUAACACUCCAGAACUAUUAUUUGGGGCCAGAAGGAGGCCUACACAGGCAAGGAUGCUCCUUCCACGUCCAGUGUACUAGCAAAAGAUGCCCUAACUUCCGCAGGAGGGUGGGUGGAUGCACACUGCUUUUUCAAAGUGUAGUGCCCAACCAAGUAAAUCACUCAGAUGCAAUCGAAGUGUCUCAAAAUUGCAAUAAGGAGUAAAAAU